rnacentral:rRNA from 1 species
AGCGAACGCUGGCGGCAGGCCUAACACAUGCAAGUCGAACGAACCCUUCGGGGUUAGUGGCGGACGGGUGAGUAACACGUGGGAACGUGCCUUUAGGUUCGGAAUAACUCAGGGAAACUUGUGCUAAUACCGCAUGUGCCCUUAGGGGGAAAGAUUUAUCGCCUUUAGAGCGGCCCGCGUCUGAGUAGAUAGUUGGUUAGGUAAUGGCUCACCAAGGCUACGAUCAGUAGCUGGUCUGAGAGGAUGACCAGCCACAUUGGGACUGAGACACGGACCAAACUCCUACGGGAGGCAGCAGUGGGGAAUCGUGCGCAAUGGGCGAAAGCCUGACGCAGCCAUGCCGCGUGGAUGAUGGAGGUCUUAGGAUUGUAAAAUCCUUUCACCGGUGAAGAUAAUGACUGUAGCCGGAGAAGAAGCCCCGGCUAACUUCGUGCCAGCCGCCGCAGUAAUAC